UACGAAGGGGGCUAGCGUUGCUCGGAAUCACUGGGCGUAAAGGGUGCGUAGGCGGGUUUUUAAGUCAGGGGUGAAAUCCUGGAGCUCAACUCCAGAACUGCCUUUGAUACUGAAGAUCUUGAGUCCGGGAGAGGUGAGUGGAACUGCGAGUGUAGAGGUGAAAUUCGUAUAUAUUCGCAAGAACACCAGUGGCGAAGGCGGCUCACUGGCCCGGUACUGACGCUGAGGCACGAAAGCGUGGGGAGCAAACAGG
rnacentral:rRNA from 1 species